UACGUAGGGGGCAAGCGUUGUCCGGAAUCAUUGGGCGUAAAGCGCGUGUAGGCGGCUUGGUAAGUCUGCUGUGAAAGCCCGGGGCUCAACCCCGGGAGGCCGGUGGAUACUGUCAGGCUCGAGUCCGGAAGAGGAGAGUGGAAUUCCUGGUGUAGCGGUGAAAUGCGCAGAUAUCAGGAGGAACACCCGUGGCGAAGGCGGCGCUCUGGGACGGAACUGACGCUGAGACGCGAAAGCGUGGGGAGCAAACAGG
rnacentral:rRNA from 1 species